GGCGCAAGCCUGAUGCAGCGACGCCGCGUGAGGGAUGACGGCCUUCGGGUUGUAAACCUCUUUCACCAGGGACGAAGCGUGAGUGACGGUACCUGGAGAAGAAGCACCGGCCAACUACGUGCCAGCAGCCGCGGUAAUACGUAGGGUGCGAGCGUUGUCCGGAAUUACUGGGCGUAAAGAGCUCGUAGGCGGUUUGUCGCGUCGUCUGUGAAAUUCUGCAACUCAAUUGCAGGCGUGCAGGCGAUACGGGCAGACUUGAGUACUACAGGGGAGACUGGAAUUCCUGGUGUAGCGGUGAAAUGCGCAGAUAUCAGGAGGAACACCGGUGGCGAAGGCGGGUCUCUGGGUAGUAACUGACGCUGAGGAGCGAAAGCGUGGGUAGCGAACAGGAUUAGAUACCCUGGUAGUCCACGCCGUAAACGGUGGGUACUAGGUGUGGGUUCCUUUUCACGGGAUCCGUGCCGUAGCUAACGCAUUAAGUACCCCGCCUGGGGAGUACGGCCGCA
rnacentral:rRNA from 1 species